UGGGCAAUUCAUUGUACACAUUGGAUCUUUGGAUAAUUGUAUGGUAUGUGAACAAGCUCAGUAAAAAAUAAAUAAAAAAAUAAGGGCAUGGAACAUGAAGAAAAAACAUGUUUGCUAUCGUGGCAUGUAUUAUUUUUAUUAUCAGCAAAAAAUUUUGGAAAAGAGAAAGAUCUGCAGAGCUUCUGUUGUUACACUGAGUAUAUGUCUGGCUCAAACUGGGUAGAAGCAGCUCUCCCAGAUGUGCUGGGGCAGGGCAUUUUUGGAAAGUCCCCACAUCCUGAAAUUAUAGAAAUUCCAUUCUAAUCCAGGGAGAUAGAAUAGCCUCUAGAAUAUUUAAGGUUAUAUUGAAGUACAUGUGCUAUGGUAACUUAAUUUUAUUCAUGGGCUAUUUCCUGAAUAUGUUCUAGAACCAUUUGUUCUUAGUUCUGUCUCAGUUUUGCCCUUCCUUUCUUUCAGAGGGGCACUUCACUAUAAUUUCUUCACGUGUGCACCUAGCAGAUGACUCCCGAAUCUGGACCUUUCUUCUGAGUGCUGGACCCACGAACCAAACGCCUUUGGAUGUUGAAUGCCCUUGAAUGCUCCAUAGGCACCUCAACAUCAUUGUCUCCUUCAACCUCAUCACCUUCCCUCCACUCCAAAUCAGCCUCUCCUCCUACUGUGUUCCCUAUCUCAGUAAAUUGUAUGACCAGUUUUCUAAGAAGCAAGUUAGAAGUCCUCCUUCUCCAUCAAAUCUUCAUCCUUUGUGCAAGACACUGUUUUAGACCUUGAGGAUAUAGAAGUAAAUAAGCCAUAGGCCCUUAAGCUUUGGAAAAUUAAAUACAGCUCCAGACUUCAGCCAACUCAUCUGACCAGCUUCCCAGACCUUUCCUUUCUAAAGGAGAAAAGGGCUGAAGCUAUGAUGACACCAUGGAUGUUCUGGAACCACAUUUGAAGCCGGAAUCCAAUGGAUAGAUCCAGCCCUGGCUUUUCACCUACAUUCAAGAUUCCCAUAUUCAACUGUCCUCUCAUCACCCCUACCUGGAUGCUUGACAGAUCAGUUACCACACAGGGAGAAGAGGAGUAGCUCUGAAGUGACCUCUCUGGUAUCUUGAAUCUGGAAAUAAUGCUAUGGCCUUGAUUCAUUUUGAUUCUGAUCUUGUG